rfam:Ictidomys tridecemlineatus contig044450, whole genome shotgun sequence.
AGGGUUGUGGCUCAGUUGUAGAGCACUUGCCUUGCAUGCAUGAGGCCAUGAGUUCGAUCCUCAGCACCACAU